rnacentral:lncRNA from 1 species
CCUGCCUUUGCAGAUGUACACCCGUGAGCAAAAGUAUACGGACCACAGGGUCGCCUAAAAAACUGAAUUUCUCCGUAAUUAACACACAUAAA